AUCGGUAAGAACCGUUAUUGUCAUCCUCCUGGUGUACGCUAUUGCACUUUCUCAGAUGGAUGGAUCUGUUGAAGCUGUAAGGUUAGUGUUACUUUAGGAAGUACCCUCAGGACCGAAUCCGAUAUCCAAUGGAUAAAUAGACACCGACAGCGAAUCGUUAAGUCGGGUGAGCUCGGGUUCGCGAUCGUGCCUGCGCCGACUCACCGACACGCUCCGUUUGCAUGAGUUGCUCCUAGCCAAUAGAGAGGUGGAGGCCGAGAAAUCCCACCUUCUCGAGACACUGGACUAUAUAAUGCCAUUUGAAAGAAAUCUGAGCUUCAUUCAACGUUCAACAUGGCAUCUGUAAGAACCGUUAUUGUCAUCCUCAUGGUGUGCGCUAUUACACUUUCUCAGAUGGAUGGUUCUAAAGCAACUGUAAGGAUAAAGUUAGAUCAUGAUGUACCCGGAGGACCGAGUCCGAUAUCCAAUGGAUAAAUAGAAUGAAUGGAACCUUCUGCGUAUAACCUAUCACAAUUUGAAUCAAUCUAAAAUGUUGAAUUGCAACGGGAAAUCCUAAAAUUAAAUGUACGACUCUUAUAUUUCGAUUAACUUUUCAAAUGCUGUAUAUGUGAUUAAUAAAUCUUAAAAAAUGUA